GUGGGGAAUAUUGGACAAUGGGCGAAAGCCUGAUCCAGCCAUGCCGCGUGUGUGAAGAAGGUCUUCGGAUUGUAAAGCACUUUAAGUUGGGAGGAAGGGCAGUAAGUUAAUACCUUGCUGUUUUGAUGUUACCGACAGAAUAAGCACCGGCUAACUUCGUGCCAGCAGCCGCGGUAAUACGAAGGGUGCAAGCGUUAAUCGGAAUUACUGGGCGUAAAGCGCGCGUAGGUGGUUUGGUAAGUUGGAGGUGAAAUCCCCGGGCUCAACCUGGGAACUGCCUCAAAAACUACUGAGCUAGAGUACGGUAGAGGGUAGUGGAAUUUCCUGUGUAGCGGUGAAAUGCGUAGAUAUAGGAAGGAACACCAGUGGCGAAGGCGACUACCUGGACUGAUACUGACACUGAGGUGCGAAAGCGUGGGGAGCAAACAGGAUUAGAAACCCGUGUAGUCC
rnacentral:rRNA from 1 species